rnacentral:rRNA from 1 species
UACGGAGAGGGCUAGCGUUGUUCGGAAUUACUGGGCGUAAAGAGUGCGUAGGUGGUUUAGUAAGUUGGAAGUGAAAGCCCGGGGCUUAACCUCGGAAUAGCUUUCAAAACUACUAAUCUAGAGUGUAGUAGGGGAUGAUGGAAUUCCUAGUGUAGAGGUGAAAUUCUUAGAUAUUAGGAGGAACACCGGUGGCGAAGGCGGUCAUCUGGGCUACAACUGACACUGAUGCACGAAAGCGUGGGGAGCAAACAGG